rnacentral:lncRNA from 10 species
GUAGAAUGUCAAACCAAAAAUAAAUUGGGCAUGUUUCCCUUCUAAGGCAGAGGGACUAGCUCCUCUUAUACUUGGCUCUCAAAUUCUUGCUAAAAUUCCGGGAAGCCGUCUUGAAAGAAAAUGCUUUCAUAUGGAUAAACGUCAUGGGCUGUUAGGAAGACCACAAGGAUAACGACGGUGAAGGUGGGGUUGUUGUGACUCUGACAGUUCUUUUGCCCACUGUCCUGAUAGAAAAUGACAGCCAAAACCUUUACCAUGCAUCUUGUGUCUCAGUCAACUGAGGCAGGACAAACCCCACCUGCGCGGGGGGACCUCAAUCUCCAUUUAUGAUGGAAAUUUGGACAGGGAUGACACAAGAUGGGAUCAACUCCUCUUUCACCUAUGUGAAGAUGAAGGCAGGGAUCUGGGUGAUGCCAAGGAACACCAAAGAUUGCCAUAAAACCACCAGAAGCUAGAGGAGAAGCAGGAAACAGAUUCUUCCUCAGAGCCUUAGAAGGAACCAACCCUGCUGACAGCCUGACCUUGGACUUCCAGCCUCCAGAACUGUGUAAAUAUAUUUCUGUGGUUUAAGCCGUGUAAUUCACAGUACUUUGUUACUGCAGCCCUAGUAAACUAAUACAGCAUACUUAUGAGAAAAGAAUAUGAAGACUUCAAAUGAUUUUCCACAAUCAUUUGCACUAAAAAUAAAGUGUUUCUAAUCCCAUUUUGUCUUCACAAUCAAAAGAAAGACACCUUUACAGUCUCUACACCCUGAGAGGUGGAUGUCAGGGAGCUCUGGUGAGCUGCUAAGGAGAAAGGACCUGGAGAACAAGAGUGAAGAGGGCUUUCCUUCCAGGCCAGCAGUGACUGUCUCCUUCUCUCCAUCUCAUUUGAGGAAACCACCUCUGUCUUAACAGCCUGUCUCCUGCUAGAAGCUUCAAUGAUGGGCUUAUACUCAGUGGCAUUACAGUAAAUACAUGUACAGUAAACUGGCACUCCAAAAUAAAUACGUGUAAAUAUAUAUGUUUGUCAUAAAUUUCAAUAAUAUAAAGGAUGUGUAGUGUACAAUUUAUAAAAAAUAUUAUUUAUUGUCAACUUCAUAGAGCUAAUUUAUUCUCACAGAAUGUUUCUAUUGAUUUUUGCCAAAUCCUUAUGUAUUAGGGCUCUCCAGAGAAAGAGAACUAAUAGGAUAUUACUUCUCUAUCUAUCUAGAUACUCCGAGCUAUCUGUCUACCUAGAUAGAAACUCUAGAUGGAUAAAAAGAUGAUAGAGAUAGAUGAUAGAUAGAUAGAUUAGAUAGAUAGAUAGAUAGAUAGAUAGAUAGAUAGAUAGAUAGAUAGAUAGACGGACUCAUUAUAAUGCAGUGGCUCACAUGAUUAUGGAGGCUGAGAGGUCCCAUGAUCUGCCACCUGCAAGCUGAAGACCCAGGAAAGAUGGUGGUGUCAUUUGAAGGCCUGGAAGUCAAAGAGUUGAUGGUGUAGAUUCCAGUCCAAGUCUGAAGGCCUGAGACCCAGAAGCAGUGAGGGCAGGAGAAGAUCAAUGUCCCAGCUGAGGCAGUCAGGCAGAGUUCCUCCAGCUUUCCUCUACCUUUUUGUUCUGUUCCAAUCCUCAACAGAUCAGAUGAGGCCCACCCACAGAGGAAGGGCCAUCUUCUCUCUCAGUCUACUGUUUCAAAUGCCAAUCUCUUCCAGUAACACCCUCGCUGACAUACCCGGAAGUAAUGUUUUACCAGCUAUCUGGGCAUCCCAUGGCCCAGUCAAGCUGACACAUAAAAUUAACCAUCACACCACAGCCAACAUAGAACUGCAAUUCGACUGUGACUUGACAAGUGGAAUUUUAUUCCAAUCCAGUUUUUCUCUAAUAAAUCUACUGUCAUUAAACC